AGUUCACGUCCACUCAGCGUUGUUGACAUUAGAGGAAAGCGUCAUUUUCAGUUCCUCAGACCUAUAAAUGUCCGCUCAGGCCUUUCAUUCAGCUCAUUGUUGGUCAGCAGAGGCGCGCAACCGGGUUUGUUGUGCCAAAUUUUUCUACUUUCAGUUUUCCCUUUUUUGUGAGGAAAUUAUUGUUUGGUUUUUUUCAUCUGAAGUGGAAGCAAGUCAACAUGUGGGGAGAUGAUGCUGAUUUAAAGAAUAAAGGUGUUGAGAGUGUGAACCAGCUUGGAGGCAUGUUUCUCAACGGAAGACCUCUUCCAGAAACCAAGCGGAGGAAAAUAAUCGACCUGGCCUCAGAGGGAGUGCGCCCCAGCCAGAUCUCCAGGAUCCUACGGGUGUCCAGCGGGUGCGUCAGCAAGAUCCUCACGCGCUUUUGGCGCACCGGACGCGUGGCGCCCAAGGCCAUCGGAGGAAGCCGGCCGAGGCUCCUCACCCCGGGCGUCAUCUCCACCAUCAUCCGCUUCAAGAGUGAGAACCCGACCAUCUUUGCUUGGGAAAUCCGAAAGCGGCUCGCAGCGGCGCGAAUGUGCAAAGUUCCAAGCGUGUCAUCCAUAAACAGAGUUUUGAGAAAGAUCCAAACGGGACAUGGCGCACUGCGCAUGGAGCUCAACCGUGAAAUAGAAGUAAAAGAUCAGGAAACAAGCUGUGAUCAGCAGAAAUCUAAAGGUGGACAACUCAGAAACCGCACCUCCUUCACGCAAGAGCAGAGCCGAGCACUUGAACAAGAAUUUGCACAAAGACACUACGCAGAUCUGUACACCAGAGAGAAACUUUCCGCUGAAAUCAAACUUUCUGAGGAGACCAUCAAGGCACGAGGAUUUCCUUUAGUUUUUAUUCACUUUUAUCCUUCCUCCACCUCUGACGCUUCUUUUUCUUUUCUUUGACAGGUCUGGUUCUCCAACAGACGAGCAAAACGGAGGAGGGAGGUCAAGCAAAGCAGAAGCACAAUGCCAUCUUCAGACUUUCCAGGCGAAAGAAACGCCACGUCUCUGAGUCCGACAGCGCCACACAGCUUCACGUCUCAGCAGGCCACAGGGAUGAUAAAAGUCAGCUGUGAGAACCAACAUUUCCACAACACUGUUUGUAGAAAGCUUCACAACAGCUCCUUCCUUCCAGGACAGACAGGGAUGCAGGAUUCUGGAGUUCUUAAUCAUCCAGGUUCAUCUCAGAACCUGGACCUCCAUCUUGACGCCUCCGCCAUCCCGCCGGCCUUCUACCACCCAGACACAAGCACGGUCCUUCCCUUAUUUACCAGGACGGCGCCUCACCAGUGGAGUCAGCACGCACCUCCUUUUUUCUGGAAUCCCUCUCAAACAAGCGAGAGGUUUCGGUUUACUCAGGACGUGAACCUCAACUGCUACACGGACUAAAAUCUAAAUUUUUUGGUUUGAUUUUGCUGAUAAACGGUGAUAAAACAGCCCCAAAGUGCCAAAGCUCAACCUUCAGACUGCAGAGACAGAUGGUGACCACUAGAGGGAGACAAAGCCCUUUCAGAGGAAAGAUCAUUAUAAUGGUGCCACACAAAUCUUUCAAUUUAAUGGGUUUGAUGAGUCAAAAUGAAGCCCUAAAACGGAAUCCUCAAAGCAGACAAGAUUAGCCGGUUUUCUUUUUUCCUUUGAUGUUUUAUUGAUGUGACUCUGCAUUGAAUAAACUAUCAGAUCAGAGUGUGAUUAAAGCAAUAAAUCCCAGAUUUGGUUGAAAAGAAUGUGAUUUUUAGAGGGUACAAGCUGUGCUUAAAGGGUAAUUUAAAAAAAAGAUAAAUUAGGAUGUCUCACCAUGUGUGGACAGAGCGUGGUCACUUUGACACUAUUUUUUUUUUUAGCUCUGCUGCUAGCUGAGGUGCAGCAGGAGGAUCAGGCGUCCUUCCAAGAAUUCUGUCCAGGAAAGCCGGUGGGAGAUUCGGCUUCAAAAGCUCAGAACACGAUCUGUUAUCUGCACUUCUAUCAGCUUUUAUG